GCCAGUAGUCAUAUGCUUGUCACAAAGACUAAGCCAUGCAUGUCUAAGUAUAAACUAAUUAUACGGUGAAACUGCGAAUGGCUCAUUAAAAUCAGUUAUAGUCUACUUGAUCGUAAAUUCUACUUGGAUAACCGUAGGAAAUCUAGGGCUAAUACAUGCUAAAAGCCGCGACUACCUCCGGGUUGGAAGCGGUGAAUUUAUUAGAUUAAAAACCAAUGGCGGGGGCAACCUCGUCAACCCUAGGCGAAUCAUGAUAACGCAUCUGAUCGGCGGCUAGUCCGCCGACGAUACAUACGAAUUUCUGCCCUAUCAACUUUCGAUGGUUGGAUAGAGGCCAACCAUGGUCGUAACGGGUAACGGAGAAUUAGGGUUCGGUUCCGGAGAUGGAGCCUGAGAGAUGGCUACAACUUCCACGGAAGGCAGCAGGCGCGCAAAUUACCCAAUCCCAAUACGGGGAGGUAGUGACAUGAAAUACCGAUGCGUGGCCCUAUUGGGUCGCGACGUUGGAAUGAGUACAAUUUAAAUCCCUUAACGAGGAACAAUUGGAGGACAAGUCUGGUGCCAGCACCCGCGGUAAUUCCAGCUCCAAUAGCGUAUAUUAAAGUUGUUGCAGUUAAAAAGCUCGUAGUUGGAUUUCGGAGCAUUCACGAUGCUGACCGCUGAAACGGCGUGUUCGGCGCGUGGAUCUCCUCUUCUUGGGGAUUCAAGUGGGUGGCGGGUAAAACCGUCAUUCGCUCCCCAUCGUUUACUUUGAGAAAAUUGGAGUGCUCAAAGCAGGCACAACCCUGCCUUGAACAAUGCAGCAUGGGAUAAUAGAACAGGACGAAGGUCCUAUUUUGUUGGUUUCUAGGGCUUUUGUAAUGAUUAAAAGGGACAGUUGGGGGCAUUCGUAUUCAAUUGUCAGAGGUGAAAUUCUAGGAUUAAUUGAAGACGAACUACUGCGAAAGCAUUUGCCAAGGAUGUUUUCAUUAAUCAAGAACGAAAGUAGGGGGAUCGAAGAUGAUCAGAUACCGUCGUAGUCUCUACCAUAAACGAUGCCGACCAGGGAUCCGGAGAAGUUACGUGGAUGACUCCCCGGGCACCUUGUGAGAAAUCAUAAGUCGCUGGGUUCUGGGGGGAGUAUGGUCGCAAGGCYGAAACUUAAAGGAAUUGACGGAAGGGCACCACCAGGCGUGGAACCUGCGGCUUAAUUUGACCCAACACGGGGAAACUUACCAGGUCCAGACACAGUAAGGAUAC
rnacentral:rRNA from 1 species